rnacentral:tRNA from 2 species
CGGAGCGUGGCGCAGCUUGGUAGCGCACCUGCUUUGGGAGCAGGGGGUCGCUGGUUCGAAUCCAGUCGCUCCGACCA